GUUCCUGCAACUUUUUCUUUUAUUCUUUCAAUGCCCUUUGGCAAUCAUUAUUUCACCUGACCGUUUGAUCCGUUUUUUUUAACAGCUUGAGUAUAGGUUCACACUUGGCUGUUAGAUAAGAUGUGAACCAUGACAUGUAGUUCAAUCUACCUAGGAGACCACGAACCUCUCUUUCUGUUCUCGGUUCAGGCAUUUCUCUUUUUUUUUUUUUUUUUUUUUUUUUUUUUUUUUNNNNNNNNNNNUUUUUUUUUUUUUAAGCAUGAUCAACCUCGAUUCCUCUCUUACAAUAAACCCCAGCAACUUACUGGACCGCACUCUGAUAGUGCACUUAUCUGAAUUCAACCUCCGUUUGAAUUGUCUCAACCGAUCUACUCAGCUUGG
rnacentral:lncRNA from 1 species